rnacentral:rRNA from 1 species
GACGAACGCUGGCGGCGUGCUUAACACAUGCAAGUCGAACGGAAAGGCCCUGCUUUUGUGGGGUGCUCGAGUGGCGAACGGGUGAGUAACACGUGAGUAACCUGCCCUUGACUUCGGGAUAACUUCAGGAAACUGGGGCUAAUACCGGAUAGGAGCUCCUGCUGCAUGGUGGGGGGUGGAAAGUUUCGGCGGUUGGGGAUGGACUCGCGGCUUAUCAGCUUGUUGGUGGGGUAGUGGCUUACCAAGGCUUUGACGGGUAGCCGGCCUGAGAGGGUGACCGGCCACAUUGGGACUGAGAUACGACCCAGACUCCUGCGGGGGGCAGCAGUGGGGAAUAGUGCACAAUGGGCGGAAGCCUGAUGCAGCAGCGCCGCGUGCGGGAUGACGGCCUUCGGGUUGUAAACCGCUUUCGCCUGUGACGAAGCGUGUGUGACGGUAAUGGGUAAAGAAGCACCGGCUAACUACGUG